GUUCAUUCUUGCUGUGACUUUUGAAGGAGAAACAUCCUGUCAGCUUUUCAAACACCAGUCUACGUAUUUUUUUCUCCAUGUGCCAGGCCUGAGGAAGACCUAUACAAAGGUCGAAACGUCGCCACCAGGCACACGCGUUUAUGUUUUAACAGGUACCAAACAGAAAACAAUUUCAUUUCAUUUAAGUUUAAAAAUACAAAUAAUACUUGAUAUAACAUUUUAAUUCAUUUUAUAGAUAAAAACAAAUAGUGAUUAUUUCAAAAAAACAAACACUCUUACAAACCACUAUACAUUUCAACAACUUUAACAAGUUUUCAAACGCUUAUGACUGGCUAUAAAAGGGAAAGCCCAGCAGAUGGAGCUCAUUCCGGUGGAGGCAAGUGAAGAGAGUGACCAAUUCAAGCAGCCCGCACCAUCCCUGGGAGGCCGUGGCAGGCUGCAGCUCCGGCCCCUGCCACCAGGCGGCCUGUGUUUGUCAAAGAAGGAAACCUAUCACAGUGCACGCUCUCCACUGGGAUCUACGUAAAAGCGGAAAUACGUCAUCCCUCCCCAUAAGGAUACCACCAAAGUAGCCACGCUCUCGACUGCGUUUGUCAACACAAAUCCGCGACAGUGGCUGCAUCAGGAGAAGAAAGACAAUCCGCUGAGUCUAAUAAUGAUCCGGAGCAGGAACUUUCAGAAAAUCCUUGUCCUUAUCUGGACUCCAUAUUUGAGUUUGACAGAGUAAAAAACGUGGACACAGACAAACAGACAUAUAUUUUCAAAUGUUUAUUGUGUUUGCCGAAGAAAAACUACCUCUCUGCUUUCAACAACUCUACGUCCAACUUAAAGAAACACGUUGACGCAAGUUAACCAGACUUUCACCAUGUUAUUUUCUAUUUGUCUCGGUCAAUGUCAUCAUGUUGUGAGAAUGUGAGAAUGUGAGUGUGUGUUGAUCACAAAAACUACAUUUUGUAGGAAGUGGUGCUGUGUGUGUGUGUGUGGUUUUAAACAAAAAAAAAAACAUUUCUUUGACUUUCAGAAACUUGAAUGGACACACACUUGAGUGGAACUUUGGGUGAAGAAUAGCUGCAGCAAUCAGCUCUGGGACAUUGUGGUUUUAUUUCAUUCAUUGAGUUUGUCUUGCUGAAAGCAGUAUUGUUGUAAAGGUAGAUUAAUCCAUGUAGAGCAUUUGUACUUCAAAUAUGAUGGACAGUACAUACAGUGUCAAUGUUUUUCCUCUCUGGUGUUAAUGUCUUUCCAUACUACACACGGACAGACACAGGAAGACAGACAUGGGGAGACCAGACAGACAUGGGCAGACAGUUUGUUGUGCUCCUAUAUUGUACUGGUACAUGUCCUUCCUGUGAAGUCAAGUGACUUCAACAUUGAGUUAUUGAAAGCAGAGAUGUAGUUUUUUGUAAAGCAGUGAUUCUCAACCAGUGGUCUGGGGACAACAUUGGUCUUUGAGGGGUUUCCAGUUCCCAACUGUUCUCCUCUGAUCUACAUCGAUCUCAUACGUUGCCUCUGUGAAGUUUGAAUGACAGAAAUCCGUCGUAGCGACAGAUAACUUUAAUCCAU
ensembl:lncRNA